rnacentral:rRNA from 1 species
GCCUACGGGACGCAGCAGUGGGGAAUCUUCCGCAAUGGGCGCAAGCCUGACGGAGCAAUGCCGCGUGAACGAAGAAGGUCUUCGGAUUGUAAAGUUCUGUCCUUAUUGAAGAGAGGGUAUAGAGUGAAAAAUGAUAUACUAGGACGGUAGAUGAGGAGGAAGCCCCGGCUAACUACGUGCCAGCAGCCGCGGUAAUACGUAGGGGGCGAGCGUUGUCCGGAAUGAUUGGGCGUAAAGGUUGCGUAGGCGGCCUGCUAAGUCUGGAGUGAAAGGUACCGGCUCAACCGGUACAGGCUCUGGAAACU